rnacentral:rRNA from 9 species
ACUUUCAACAACGGAUCUCUUGGUUCUGGCAUCGAUGAAGAACGCAGCGAAAUGCGAUAAGUAAUGUGAAUUGCAGAAUUCAGUGAAUCAUCGAAUCUUUGAACGCACAUUGCGCCCUCUGGUAUUCCGGGGGGCAUGCCUGUUCGAGCGUCAUUACAACCCUCAAGCUUU